CCUACGGGUGGCAGCAGUGGGGAAUAUUGCGCAAUGGGCGAAAGCCUGACGCAGCGACGCCGCGUGAGGGAUGAAGGUCUUCGGAUCGUAAACCUCUGUCAGCAGGGAAGAACGGUCACUGUGCUAAUCAGCAGUGAAUUGACGGUACCUGCAAAGGAAGCACCGGCUAACUCCGUGCCAGCAGCCGCGGUAAUACGGCGGGGGCGAGCGUUAAUCGGAAUUACUGGGCGUAAAGCGCGCGUAGGCGGUAUGUCAAGUCAAGGGUGAAAUCCCCGAGCUCAACGUUGGAACUGCGUUUGAAACUGACAAACUGGAGUGUGUGAGAGGAUAGUGGAAUUCGAGGUGUAGGAGUGAAAUGCGUAGAUAUCAGGAGGAACAGCAGUGGCGAAGGCGACUAACUGGCACGUAACUGACGCUGAGGAGCGAAAGCGUGGGUAGCAAACAGGAUUAGAUACCCUUGUAGUC
rnacentral:rRNA from 1 species